rnacentral:lncRNA from 10 species
CAUGAACCUGGGAGGCGGAGCUUGCAGUGAGCCGAGAUUGCGCCACUGAACUCCAGCCUGGGCGACAGACCGAGUCUAAAAAAAAAAAAAAAUUCUUUCUUGUGUUGCUUUUAUGUGUGUGUGUUUGUUUAUUGACCUAUGUGAAAGGAAAAGGUGUAUUCACAUUUUUACUAUUCACAAUUUCUUGACCCAUAAGUUUAUUUUAUGCCAAUUUAGACCUUCAUGAUCACCAAUUUCAUCCUGGUGAUCAACAUUAAUUAACUUUCACUUGCAAGUAGCCAUGUCCAGGUCUCCAGUGGGAAAGGACAGAGUCUGAGAAUUCUCUGAGAGUCUGAGAAUAUGGGUUCAGGCCCCAUAUCUCCCUUUUUCUGGACAUGGUCGACUGUUCGGCAAAUCACUGAUGCUCUUUGAACCGCAGUCUCCUUAUCCUUUAAGUGAGUGAAUUGGGCUGGAUUUUUGCAAUGCUCCCCUCCACCUCUACCUUUUUAUCAGUUCAUCUUCCAUUUCUGUAACUGCAUCCCCUUUCCUUUAAGUGUUUCACUCCCUUGUGUCUGUCUUUCGAAGAGCUUCUCAUUCCCUUGUCUUAAAUUUCACUUCUAUGCUAACUCCUACACACACACAUCUUGAUGUAUAGACACAUGUACAUAGAUAAGAAUAGAUAUGGAUCCUGUAUUGCUAUUUAACCACCAGAAACUUGCACUUAUCUGUCCUACUAUCUUUCAUCAAACCCCUUAUCCAAAUUUUGUAGAACUUGCUAUUUCCUCCCAAUACAGAUAUUCUCCAUUCUGGACUUAAGGUCUCUUCUCUAUGGCCUCCCCAUUAUCCCAGAACCUGCACUAAUACUUAAUAUCCUUCUUUAUCAAUUGCCAAGUCCUAUUGUUGUCUUCUGUCUUCGGAAUCUGACAUCUCCUUUCUGCUCCCACUCCCAGGACCCAGUGGCUUCGUUUCUCAGUAACCACCCACUUGAUAUCUGGCUCAAACCAGGAGAAAGUUCCCCAACAGGGAGUGGGGACUGCUCACUUGCCUGUCUCACUGUCUGUCAUCGAAACCCACAAAUGAGACAAAGAGAUAAUGUGGUUUAGGACUCAGCUUUCAGUUCAGAGGAAUGGAUGGCUGCAGCCCCAGGAAGAAAUUGAAAAGCCAGGGAGCCAGAUGCAUCCCAUGGGACCCUGCCCAGAGCUCGGCCACCGAUUGCCCGGGACACCCACCCCAGUGUCCGUCAGACCCUGCCCUGAGCCCAGCCGCCAACUGCCUGGACACCCACCCCAGUGUCCGUCAGACCCUGCCCAUAGCCUGGCCACCCACUGCCUGGGACACCAGCCCCAGAGUACAUGAGACCCUGCCCGGAGCCUGGCCACCCACUGCUCAGGACACUAACCCCAGUGUCUGUCAGACCCUGCCCGGGGCCCGGCCACCCACUCCCUGGGACACCUGGCCCAGUGUCCGUCAGGAGUUUUGGCUCCAUCUUUGCUAAACGCUUUUUGUGAUUGAUUUCAUUUAGCCCUGACACCGUUUCUGUGAGGAAGAGACUGUUGCUGCUUCUGUUUGAGAAAUGACAAAGCUGAGUAGCUAAGAAGUUAAACAGGCCCGUGCCAGGCCAGUGGCAGGGCGGGGGUUAGAGCCAAGGUCUGCAGGAUUCCAGAUCUGGGCUCUGAACUCCCUGCACUAAUCUGCCUUACCUUUUAGACCAGCUCCUUUUGGUUUAUUUUUUAACUUCUGUAUUCUUUUUUUAAAUGACAAUUGUGAGACAAGAUAGCAAACAUAAAAAGCCAUGUUUGCUCAUUUCUGCUUGAACCCCUCACUGUGAUGAAAUGCAGUCCUCUGGAACAAUGCCUUGAGGACAAGGCAGGACAGAGCCCGCGGCCACCCACAUCCUCCCUGAGUCACUACAUCCUUGAAAAGAUAAAUAACCUGAACCUUUGCCUUUGCCUGCACAUAAGAUAACGUCUGAA